UACACUCUUAACGCUAUUCAUGAUUCAUGUUCAUACAGCGUAUCGUUUUGAGUGAUAUAUUGUGUAUCCAACAUCGAACCAGAGGAUGGAAACUCGAGUUAUCAAAAUCUAAAUUCACUAUGCCUCGAAAAACGCUAAAAACGUAUCAACAAUCACGUUGACCUAUUGAAAAAUUAACGAUUUGAAGGUGUAUCCCUGAAAUCUGGCAAAUUUGUUGCUUCGUGACAGAAGCGUGAUAUCUUAAGUUUUGUUUCGUUUCGUCUCUGUUCAACUUCUUUUCUUGUUUUUCUCUCGCGUUCACCUCCCCUUUACUUUUCAACCCUUAAGCACAUUAUCCCCCGAAAAAAAAGGAGAGCACUCUUCACCCUUCCUCCCCCUCCGCCCCUUCUCUUUCUCUCUGUCUCUCUGUCUCUCACCAAGUCUCUCAUUUUUCCCCCCUCUUUCAAUAUAUCGCGUAUUUUUCUUUCUUUUUAUUAAAUGUACACGAUAACAACAGAAUUUUCGGUACUCUUGCACGUUAGAAACGUGGAUGAGUGAUUGUAUAUUUGAACGGCAGCCGAUUAUCGGCCGAUUCCUUCCUUUACGCGAGUGAAUGCUCCCUACGUUUAACUGGUGUCAAUGUACACACAGUGUAACGUUAUUGUAGCAUUAGCCAGAAAGCAUUUCUAAAAGAAUCUUCGUCUAACUAGAAUUCGACAUGAUGAAGAGCAGUGCUAUGCUUAAGAAAGAAAGCAAAAUGCGCAUACGUGCUUUUCCGACUACUAUGGAUGAAAAGUAUGUAGAAAGUAUUUGGGCACUACUAAAAAAUGCAAUUCAGGAAAUUCAGAAGAAAAAUAAUUCUGGUCUUAGCUUUGAAGAACUUUAUCGGAAUGCUUAUACUAUGGUUCUCCAUAAGUAUGGAGAACGUUUAUAUACAGGUUUAAAGGAAGUAGUAACGCAUCAUUUGGAAAAUAAAGUACGAGAAGAUGUAUUGAGAUCUCUCCACAAUAAUUUUCUUCAAACGUUAAAUCAAGCUUGGAACGAUCAUCAGACAUCGAUGGUAAUGAUCAGAGAUAUUUUGAUGUACAUGGAUAGAGUGUAUGUUCAACAGAAUGAUGUAGACAAUGUUUAUAAUUUGGGACUUAUCAUAUUUAGAGAUCAAGUGGUCAGAUACGGAUGUGUUAGAGACCAUUUACGAGAAACAUUAUUAGGUAUGGUAGCAAGAGAAAGAAGAGGAGAAGUAGUAGAUCGCAUCGCCAUAAAGAAUGCUUGUCAAAUGUUAAUGUUACUUGGCAUCAACAGUCGUCAAGUGUACGAAGAAGAUUUUGAAAGGCCUUUUUUACAACAGAGCGCUGAAUUUUAUAGAAUGGAGUCUCAAAAAUUUUUGGCAGAAAAUAGUGCAUCGGUAUAUAUAAAAAAAGUUGAAGCUAGAAUUUGCGAAGAAUCUGAAAGAGCAAAACAUUAUUUAGACGAAUCCACCGAACCACGAAUAGUAGAAGUUGUAGAAGAAGAACUAAUUAAAAUUCAUAUGAGAACUAUCGUUGAGAUGGAAAACAGUGGUGUAGUACAUAUGCUCAAAAACCAGAAAACUGAAGAUCUCGGUUGCAUGUAUAAAUUAUUUUCAAGAGUUUCGGACGGACUACGUACAGUAUGCGAUUGUGUUUCUCAGUUUCUCAAGGAACAAGGACGUGCCAUGGUUCAAGAGGAACACGAGUCAACAACAAAUGCCGUUCUUUUUAUUCAGAAUUUAUUGGAUUUAAAAGACCGUUUUGAUCAUUUUCUUCAUUGUUCGUUCAACAACGAUAAAAAUUACAAGCAAAUGAUUGCGUCGGACUUUGAAUACUUUUUAAAUUUGAACACCAAGAGUCCAGAAUACCUGUCCCUCUUCAUUGAUGACAAGCUGAAAAAAGGUGUUAAAGGGAUGACAGAGCAAGAAAUUGAAGGUAUUUUAGACAAAACCAUGGUUUUGUUUCGAUUUCUCCAAGAAAAAGACGUGUUUGAACGAUAUUAUAAACAACAUUUAGCGAAACGUCUUCUCUUGAAUAAAUCAGUGUCCGACGAUAGUGAAAAAAACAUGAUAUCCAAACUUAAGACUGAAUGUGGAUGUCAAUUCACGUCAAAAUUAGAAGGGAUGUUUAAAGAUAUAACAGUCAGUAAUACCAUCAUGGAUGAAUUUAAGGAUCAUGUCCUUACAUCUAAUACAAAUCUGCACGGUGUGGAUAUAAGUGUAAGGGUUUUAACAACUGGCUUUUGGCCAACACAGUCUGCAACUCCAAAGUGUAGUAUGCCAGUAGCUCCGCGAGAUGCUUUCGAUGCCUUCCGACGUUUUUAUCUUGCUAAACACAGUGGCCGACAACUAACGUUACAACCGCAAUUAGGUUCCGCGGAUUUAAAUGCUGUAUUUCAUGGACCACGAAGAGAAGAAAACAGUUGCGGCGGUCUAGAUACACCAUCGUCUUCAAGUUCCAUUGGUAACGGAAGUGGAAGCACUAACGGUAGUAUUUUAAGUCAACGUAGCAGCAGUUGUGGAAACACAAGGAAACAUAUAAUACAAGUAUCAACUUACCAAAUGUGCGUUUUGAUGCUGUUCAACAAAAGAGACAAAUUAACGUAUGAGAUUAUCUGUACAAUGUGUGAAACGUUGCGUAGGAAAUUCAAGGUGAAACCGAUAUUCCAGAGAGAGACUUGGUUAGAGCAUUGCAAUCUCUCGCAAUGGGCAAAGCUACGCAAAGAGUAUUGUUGAAACAUCCCCGUACAAAGGAAAUAGAACCUUCGCACUGUUUUUGUGUCAACGACAGCUUUACCAGUAAAUUACACAGAGUAAAGAUUCAAACGGUGGCAGCAAAAGGUGAAUCAGAACCGGAAAGGAGAGAAACGCGUAAUAAAGUCGAUGAAGACAGAAAACACGAGAUAGAAGCAGCUAUUGUUCGUAUUAUGAAAGAUAGGAAGCGCAUGCCU